UUUUCUUUUCUUUUCUUUUCUUUUCUUUUCUUUUCUUUUCUUUUCUUUUCUCUCUCUCUUUCUUUCCUUCCUUCUUUCUCUCCCUUCUUUCCUUCCUUCCUUCCUUCCUUCCUCUCUUUCUUUCUUUCUUUCUUUCUUUCUUUCUUUUUUUCUUCCUUCCUUCCUUCCUUCCUUCCUUCCUUCCUCUCUCUCUCUCUCUCUCUCUCUCUCUCUCUCUCUUUCUUUCUUUCUUUCUUUCGGUUUUUCGAGACAGGGUUUCUCUGUGUAGCCCUGGCUGUCCUGGAACUCACUCUGUAGACCAGGCUGGCCCUGAACUCAGAAAUCCAUCUGCCUCUGCCUCCUAGGUGCUGGGAUUAAAGGUGUGUGCCACCACUGCCCGGCAAGAGUAAUUUUCUAGCCAACACUUUUGUUUAUUAUAAUGAGCCUAUAGUACAUUGGUUUUCUUGGGUAAAAUUUUCCAGUGAUCAACUUAUUAUUUGUGAAUCAUAGUGGCUCUAGUCACAUUGCAUGGUGGGAAAUAAAUUUGAUUGAAAAUAAAACAGAAUUAGCAAAAGAAAGGUGGAAUAUGUUUUGAAGAGGUGGAAGAAAUUCUGUUUGUUCAACUGCCACCCACCUACUUUGGGCACUUCAACAAUUCUGUAAUUAGCAAAUAAAUAUUUCUUAAUGGUUAUGAUAGAUCUUUGAAUCAUUUGUCAACUCUCCAGAUCUCUGAAGUCAUCACUGAGAUGAUGAAACAGUGACCAGGAAUCACUGAGUUAUGUAGAUUUUGCCGUCAUAAGUCUUAAAAGACUAUCAUUUUGUAGACACAUAAAAAAACUUGGAGAUAACUAUCUUCUUGGCUUCUGAACCACUUUGGGCUCAAUUCUCUUCUUCGUUCUUCCCUACCUCUCUUCCUCCUUUACCUCUUCCUUGCUCCUGUCCUCCCUCCCCCUCCCUCCCUCCCUUUCUAUUUGAAGAGAUAGGAUUGCACGUAUCAUAGACGAGUCUGAAAAUCAGUGAUGCUGAUCAACACCUGAUCCUUCUCCCUCAACCUCCCAAGUGCAAGGACUGUAGGCGUGUGCUACUAUGCCUAGCCUUAUGAUGCAAGGUUGUUUUGUUUGAGUGAGCUGUCUACUGCAUUGAGUGGAGACUUUUGUUUAAGUGAUGUACCUGCUCUACCAAUUGGAAACUUUUGUACUGGUUUCAUGGAAACAAGAUCUAUCAAAUACCUCUUCCUAAGGCUUGUGUAUAUUGGACAUCGUUGAUUCAAGUUACUUGUUUUUUUUUUUUAAAUGUUAAAAUGUAUGCAGUGAGUCAGGAGUGGUUGUAUAUACUUGUAAUCUCAGCACUGUGGAAGCUGAGGCAAGAGGGUUCUAAGCUUGAGCCAGCCUGUACUACAAACAGCCUGUCUCAGAACAAAUGAAACAUAAAAACCUUCUGUAGUAUGUGCGGCAUCUUUUUGGCCCAGUGUAAGAGUUCUGGUUAAGAAGCACCCAUUUGUUUGGUGAGCUACAGGCCUCAAAGACAUCUCCAGAUGGCAGUUUUGGAGUAUAAAUUGGAAUGUGUCCUACACCAGCAGUUUGCUCCAAUUUUCUACGAUGUUGUCUUGGUCACUCACUGCUCAUGCUGCUGGGCAGCCUGGGAAGGGUCUGCUAGUGCCUGGACACGUGAUUCUGCUGGCCGGUGUAGUAUAAACAUGCAUUGCCAUUUGUGAUGCCCUGUUUCCCUGUUUAUCUACUGUCUGCUGCUUCCUCUGUCAGCAGUAACGUCUGUUUUAUUUCUCACUGUAUGCCCAGACCUAGUGCAGAACCUGGUGCUCCAUAUGCAUCUUCUGAGCGAAUAAACAGACUUGAAGUAGUCACCUAGUAGGUGACAGAGUAAUUAUAGAUAGAUCCCCCCCCCCCAGAGUGAAACUUUGAUUCGAAACCAUCUUUUAAGUGACUGCAUGUAAUCCAUAGUGUCAGGAGGCGUCUGAACAAAAUGGUAUUCCUGGAGAAGAAAGGUGUGAAGAGCAUUUUCUUAUGGCUGGCAACAGCAGUCAUUGGCUCCUAGCUGAUCUAAGUUGGUUCUGAGGAAGAAGCAAUACUGAGGCCAGAGCCCGUGACCAAGAGGAGGGUUUGUUUCCUUGUGAUCCUGGUCACCCACCAUUUCUGGGGUUUAGGGCAUGACCGUCUCCUUUCUGCCAUCUUAACUAGGCUAUGGAGGAGACACAGUAUGGUGAGGUAAGAUAGCUAACUGGAAAGGUUUGUAGUUUAGAAUGAUAUGCUGGUAGGGUCCUAGUCACUAUUUGAGACUGAUCCUGAUAGUCUCUUUCUCUUGAUUCUCUGAAAAGGACAAUUCUAUCCUCUGCUGCCAUUCUGACCUAUUCUCUUUUUACUCAAGGAAAAACCCAGGGAGACAAGGAGUGGAGAGGUAGCAGGAAACAGGGAAGGCUAGAGGGAACCUGAGACCGAGGCAUGGGAAUUAAGAUAUUUAAAGACUCUUAAAGAUGGUGGGUUAUGGAGGGAGCUCUCAUUUGUCUCUCAAAGUAGGCAUUGAUCAGGUGAUGCCUGGAAGAGUAACAGAAUGGUUUGUGGUCUUCCUCUGCGCUCUGUUCUUGUCAUUCAAGAGUCAGCCUUCUCUGGAAGUCUAAAUGGAACGUCACUUUCUCUCUGAAGCUGGACACUGGGGUUAUUUCCCACAAGUGAAACAGAUUAAAGGUUAUUUGGAAAAUCUGAAGAC
rnacentral:lncRNA from 1 species